GCACCCUAUUCCCUAUAUAAAGUAUAGUGCACUGCUUAGGCACCCUAUUCCCUAUAUACAGUAUAGUGCACUACUUAGGCACCCUAUUCCCUAUAUACAGUAUAGUGCACUACUUAGGCACCCUAUUCCAUAUAUACAGUACACUACUGAGGCACCCUAUUCCCUAUAUAAAGUAUAGUGCACUACUUAGGCACCCUAUUCCCUAUAUACAGUAUAGUGCACUACUUAGGCACCCUAUUCCCUAUAUACAGUAUAGUGCACUACUUAGGCACCCUAUUCCCUAUAUACAGUAUAGUGCACUACUUAGGCACCCUAUUCCCUAUAUACAUUAUAGUGCACUACUUAGGCACCCUAUUCCCUAUAUACAGUAUAGUGCACUACUUAGGCACCCUAUUCCCUAUACACAGUAUAGUGCACUACUUAGGCACCCUAUUCCCUAUAUACAGUAUAGUGCACUACUUAAGCACCCUAUUCCCUAUAUACAGUAUAGUGCACUGCUUAGGCACCCUAUUCCCUAUAUAC
ensembl:lncRNA